rnacentral:rRNA from 1 species
CCUACGGGAGGCAGCAGUGGGGAAUAUUGCACAAUGGGGGAAACCCUGAUGCAGCGAUGCCGCGUGGAGGAAUAAGGUUUUCGGAUUGUAAACUCCUUUUAUCAGGGACGCUAAGGACGGUACGUGAAGAAAACCGUCCGGCUAACUAAGUGCCAGCCGCCGCGGUCAUACGUAGGGAGCGAGCGUUGUUCGGAAUUACUGGGUGUAAAGGGAGCGUAGGCGGGACGGCAAGUUAGAUGUUAAAACUGUGGGCUCAACUUGCAGACUGCCUUUGAAACUGCUGUUCUUGAGUGGAGUAGAGGUAAGCGGAAUUCGUGGUGUAGCGGUGAAAUGCGUAGAUAUUAGGAAGAACAUCGAUUGCGAAGGCAGCUUACUGGGCUUUUACUGACGCUGAGGCUCGAAAGCGUGGGGAGCAAACAGGAUUAGAUACCCUUGUAGUC